rnacentral:rRNA from 1 species
ACAGGUGGUGCAUGGUUGUCGUCAGCUCGUGUCGUGAGAUGUUGGGUUAAGUCCCGCAACGAGCGCAACCCUCGACCUUAGUUGCCAGCAUUCAGUUGGGCACCCUAAGGUGACUGCCGGCUAAAAGUCGGAGGAAGGUGGGGAUGACGUCAAAUCAUCAUGCCCCUUAUGACCUGGGCUACACACGUGCUACAAUGGGCGGUACAAAGGGUCGCGAACCCGCGAGGGGGAGCCAAUCCCAAAAAGCCGCUCUCAGUUCGGAUUGCAGGCUGCAACUCGCCUGCAUGAAGCCGGAAUCGCUAGUAAUCGCGGAUCAGCAUGCCGCGGUGAAUACGUUCCCGGGCCUU